GUGGGGAAUUUUGGACAAUGGGCGCAAGCCUGAUCCAGCAAUGCCGCGUGCAGGAAGAAGGCCUUCGGGUUGUAAACUGCUUUUGUACGGAACGAAACGGUCCGGGUUAAUACCCUGGGCUAAUGACGGUACCGUAAGAAUAAGCACCGGCUAACUACGUGCCAGCAGCCGCGGUAAUACGUAGGGUGCAAGCGUUAAUCGGAAUUACUGGGCGUAAAGCGUGCGCAGGCGGUUUUGUAAGACAGGCGUGAAAUCACCGGGCUCAACCUGGGAAUUGCGCUUGUGACUGCAAGGCUGGAGUGCGGCAGAGGGGGAUGGAAUUCCGCGUGUAGCAGUGAAAUGCGUAGAUAUGCGGAGGAACACCGAUGGCGAAGGCAAUCCCCUGGGCCUGCACUGACGCUCAUGCACGAAAGCGUGGGGAGCAAACAGGAUUAGAAACCCUGGUAGUCC
rnacentral:rRNA from 1 species